UGGGAAAUUUGGAAAGGCCAUUUAGGUGG
rnacentral:piRNA from 1 species